AAGUUGUUUUUUUUCCCAUCAAUGGAAGAAAAAAUUACAUUUCUUAACAAACUAACUAUAUGUAAGAUGUAGCAGACCGCUUCCUGGAUAUGGGCAAGGGGAAAACAGUAUGUGCAGAUUGCUCAGUCUUGGGCAUGCUCAGUAGUGCUCAUGGCUAGGAAGGCCUCUGACCCUUGACCCCAGCUUCUCCCAGGUUAGGCGGGAAAACAGGUUUCUUUGUUCUCACCUGGUUAAGAGAAACCACACCUAUGCCUUGUCAUUAACCAAUGAGAAUCAUCCCUAUGUACUGUGUAUAUUUGCAUAUCAAAAACUAUAUCUAGCCCAGCAGGCUCCGCCUUCCCUCUCUCUGCUCUCUGCCCUCUGCCCUCUACUCUCUGCGCUCCUUCUCUUUCAGGCUACCUGAUGGCUGUCCUUGCAGGAGCUUGGCCUCUGGCCGAGCUCCAUCUUUAAUCUUUCUCUAUUCACCUCUCUGACCUGCGUGGAAUGGAUCUCAGGACUGGAAUAGCCUACUGAAUUGGUCCUUUGAUCAGAGCUUAGCUGUGGCUCAUUGAUAAUUAAUAAAGACUCAUCCUGAACACCUCAUAUCUCUACUAGGACUCCGUCACUUCCCUCGUGGUAUCAAAACUUCUAUCCUGUCUCUAUCUUCCUACCUUGUGGCUUCUCUCACCUCUGAGAGAGCUACAGAUGGCGCCCACGUGCUUAGGGCCCACUCCUAGCACUCUCGUGGCAUUCCACUCUUUUAUUUCACACAGCGAAUGGGAGAACGCGUUCGAGGACACGAGGCUAAUAGUAGGCGGGUGCCGGAGUUCCAGGAAGGUUGCCGAUCCUCUGGCCAAGGACGAUAAUGAAAACAUCUGGUCUCCCACGUCAUGCUUCAUGCCAGCUGAUACAGACCAGGAAGAGAAGCAGACGGAAGGUGAUGGCAUCAGCUACCUACAUGCCAGCCACAAUCCAGACUCGCUGGAAGGACACUUCUUUGGUGACUAAUAUCACUCUAGAACAAUGACAUUACACUAUUAGAGACAUUGGCUAUUAGACCACUGACGGACACUUGUCAUGCUGACAUCCAUUGAGAUGGGGUACCCAGAGCAACAUCAAGUAUGCUAAUUCAAAAGGACUAAAUCACACUUGUGUCUGUACAAGACACCAGAUACAUCCCACAUUCCAAAGACUUUGCGAUGGGAUUGAGAUGAAAUAGCUACAAAUUGUCUAGCUACUAAAGUAUACCUUGUAUUUUGUAUAUGAUACUGUCAAAGGGAAUUUUGUAUGCAUUAUGAAUUGUAUGCAUUGUAAAUCCACCACUUGUAUUGUAAGAAAUGCUGUUAACAAGGGUAUAGACCUUGGUAUGACUCUCCAAAGAGCAGGAGAUAGAAAACUUUCAUUCAUAGCAUAGAUCUGAUACCUCUGACAUCAAAAAUGAGGUGCUAAGCAGAAAAUGCUGCACAGCCAUGUCUAAUGGACAGAUGACACUGAUGUUACUCUCAAGAAAGAAUGAGAGAUCAGGAAAAAGACACUAGGAAAUCUUUAAUCAGGAACUUGAGUUAUUGUAAGAGAUCAUUGACAUCCAGGCAAAGAUUAUGUUCCUGACAUUACAUUAAGGGCUGACUACCAGAGAUGUAGUUAAGUGUUAAUACCAUUGUUAACCAUUACUCCUGAUACCCUGUCUUUGUGGGUAAUAUCUUGAUAGGAAAAAUGUCUUGCUCUCCUCCAACAGUCCCAGAAUUCAGACGGCCGCUGGAUUCGGGAUCUAUUGGCUUCCCUUUCAUAUACUGGAAGACGUUCUGGUAUAUGGAAGUAAGACCUCAUGAAAAACUGAGGACUCUAGGUUUGACAAUUUCUGUGGACGCGCAGUCAUUGUCUCUCCUAGGUGGAAAAAAUUAUUAUUGCACAAAAACAUGGAGCAAGGGCAAAGUAUAAUCUAAGUUUUACUGUUUUGGAGUAUGGAUUGAAAACAUGACACAAUAGGCACAGAUAAGCGUGCAGAAAA
rnacentral:lncRNA from 1 species